rnacentral:ncRNA from 1 species
AAAACAGCAUUGAUGGAGACUUGAUCUAUUUGAUUUUAUUACAGAGAAACGGGAUUGCUGAGAACCGUUAUAAAAACUUUAGAAUGCAUAUCCCUCCUGAGCUUUAUAUCUGAAUUUUAGUAAGGUAUAACGAUUAGCCUCGUUAAAGGCUUAGGUUUAAUAGAACCGAAGAGUGGUGUAUGCAAUUAAGGUGGUACCGCGAGUCAAUCUCGUCCUUAUU